GGUCGGUUAGCUUAGCUGGUUAGAGUGUGGUGCUAAUAACGCCAAGGUCAUGGGUUCAAUACUGACCAUACUGGCCA